rnacentral:rRNA from 1 species
CCUGGCUCAGGAUGAACGCUAGCGGCAGGCUUAACACAUGCAAGUCGAGGGGUAACAUUGGUGCUUGCACCAGAUGACGACCGGCGCACGGGUGCGUAACGCGUAUGCAACCUACCUUUUACUGGGGGAUAGCCCGAAGAAAUUCGGAUUAAUACCGCAUAACAAUUUUAAACUGCAUGGUUUAAAAUUUAAAACUACGGUGGUAAAAGAUGGGCAUGCGUGACAUUAGCUAGUUGGUGAGGUAAUGGCUCACCAAGGCGACGAUGUCUAGGGGUUCUUAAAGGAAGGUCCCCCACACUGGUACUGAGACACGGACCAGACUCCUACGGGAGGCAGCAGUGAGGAAUAUUGGUCAAUGGACGGAAGUCUGAACCAGCCAUGCCGCGUGCAGGAUGACUGCCCUAUGGGUUGUAAACUGCUUUUAUACAGGGAGAACACUACUCUUGCGAGAGUAACUGACGGUACUGUAUGAAUAAGGAUCGGCUAACUCCGUGCCAGCAGCCGCGGUAAUACGGAGGAUUCGAGCGUUAUCCGGAUUUAUUAGGUUUAAAGGGUGCGUAGGCGGAAGAGUAAGUCAAUUGGUUAAAUCUGGUGGCUCAACCAUACAGUUGCCAUUGAUACUGCUUUUCUUGAAUUUAGUUGCUGUGGGCGGAAUGUGUCAUGUAGCGGUGAAAUGCAUAGAUAUGACACAGAACACCGAUUGCGAAGGCAGCUCACAAAACUAAUAUUGACGCUGAUGCACGAAAGCGUGGGUAGCGAACAGGAUUAGAUACCCUGGUAGUCCACGCCGUAAACGAUGCACACUGGCUGUAUGCGAUAUACUGUAUGUGGCUGAGGGAAACUAUUAAGUGUGCCACCUGGGAAGUACGUCGGCAACGAUGAAACUCAAAGGAAUUGACGGGGGCCCGCACAAGCGGAGGAACAUGUGGUUUAAUUCGAUGAUACGCGAGGAACCUUACCCGGGCUUAAAUGUAGGUUGCAUAGUUCAGAGAUGGAUCUUUCCUUCGGGACUACUUACAAGGUGCUGCAUGGUUGUCGUCAGCUCGUGCCGUGAGGUGUCGGGUUAAGUCCCAUAACGAGCGCAACCCCUAUCGUUAGUUGCUAUCAGGUAAAGCUGAGGACUCUAGCGAGACUGCCGCCGUAAGGCGAGAGGAAGGUGGGGAUGACGUCAAAUCAGCACGGCCCUUACGUCCGGGGCUACACACGUGUUACAAUGGUCGGUACAGAGGGCAGCUACAUAGUGAUAUGAUGCCAAUCUCGAAAACCGGUCUCAGUUCGGAUCGAAGUCUGCAACUCGACUUCGUGAAGUUGGAUUCGCUAGUAAUCGCGUAUCAGCAAUGACGCGGUGAAUACGUUCCCGGGCCUUGUACACACCGCCCGUCAAGCCAUGGAAGUUGGGAGUGCCUGAAGUUCGUGACCGCAAGGAGCGACCAAGGGUAAAACUAGUAACUGGGGCUAAGUCGUAACA